GAUGAACGCUAGCGGCAGGCUUAAUACAUGCAAGUCGAGGGGCAUCAAGGUACACGAAAGUGUAUUGUUGGCGACCGGCGGACGGGUGAGUAAUAGGUAGGUAACCUACCUCAUACUGAGGCAUAGCUGGGAGAAAUUCCAGGUAAUUCCUCAUGAGGUUAUAUGACACAUGUGAUAUAAUCAAAGGUAUCGCAAGGUACUGGUAUGAGAUGGGCUUACUGACCAUUAGCUAGUUGGUGAGAUAAGAGCUCACCAAGGCGAAGAUGGUUAGGGGUUUUGAGAGAGAGAUCCCCACAUUGGAACUGAGAUACGGUCCAGACUCCUACGGGAGGCAGCAGUAGGGAAUAUUGGGCAAUGGGCGGAAGCCUGACCCAGCCAUGCCGCGUGAAGGAAGACGGCCUUAUGGGUUGUAAACUUCUUUACUAUGCGACUAACUAGAUUUACGAGAUAAUUCUAUAGAAUGUAGCAUAGCAAAAAGCACCGGA
rnacentral:rRNA from 1 species